rnacentral:rRNA from 1 species
UACGUAGGUGGCAAGCGUUGUCCGGAUUUACUGGGCGUAAAGAGCGCGCAGGCGGUCGUUCAAGUCGCGUGUGAAAGCCCCCGGCUCAACCGGGGAGGGUCACGCGAUACUGAUCGACUCGAAGGCAGGAGAGGGAAGUGGAAUUCCCGGUGUAGUGGUGAAAUGCGUAGAUAUCGGGAGGAACACCAGUGGCGAAGGCGACUUCCUGGCCUGUUCUUGACGCUGAGGCGCGAAAGCUAGGGGAGCAAACGGG